ensembl:lncRNA
CUAUUUGUUAGAAGCAAGUCAAUAAUCCUAGACCCGACUGAAGGGGAGGACAUUGCAAAAGAGCAGGAAUACCAGGAGGUGGCGUCUGUUCGUUGUUCUUGCUUCCUCGGAGCCCUCUGCUCUUUUCUCAGGCAGCACUGACUCUUCCGUCCAGCAGAGGGCUGCAUACUGGCCAAGGUCAGCAGAAGUGGACCACUCUUUCAUAGAUCUAGCAACAGUUCCAGAUCUCAUUGUUCUCACAGGUCAAUGUCAUUCUCAAAUUCAUCCUCUUUCCACCAGAGUGUGCAUCUAUAACCCUUUACAACUAAGGACCUCAAGCAACUGGCAAGGUCAAGCAACUUCAGUCAGGAAGGCAUCUUCUCAUCAAAGUGGGAAAAUAAAGGCAAAGAAUAUUGUGCUUCCAAGUGGGAUAUUUCAGUUUGAAAUAUAUAAUAUGCAAGAACAGCUGGCUAGAUCAAACUUGUAGGGGUUAGGGCUGAAUAGACUGCCCUGAAGACCAGGGAAGGUUGUGCUGAAAAUCAGCUUGAACUCUGUACAUGUAUGUAGCAGAGCACUGAUCACAUUACAUUGCAAUUAUUUCUCCAUAUGUCUAUACCCUGCUUUGGAGCUUGAGCUCUACUUGAAUAUUCUUCAUUUCUGGGCCACCAGCACCAAGCUCAAGUAUACAACUCUCAUAGAUACUCACUUACCCACUGAAUGAAUUCAUAGAUGAAUGAACAUACGAAUCAAUGCAAGGACUGUUGGAUGGUCAGUGAAACUUCGCUUCUUGACUCUGUCCUAACACAACCAAGAAAAUUGACAAAAGAUUUUCACCACUAUUUUUCAGAGAUAAUGAAUACUUCCUUAAAAAUCAAUUUCCUUGCUAUCAUUUGUUUGAGAUUUCCAUUUUUAUGUGUCUGACAGAUAGAAACAAAAAUGGACCACACAAUGCAAGAAACGAAAUCCUCCAUGGGGCUUGCCUGUGAAAUUGAGCCAUGCAUCAUGACGUACUGUUCCAGCCAGGCCAGUCCCUGCUCAGGCACCACAGAACAGACUCCCACUGCACCUUCAAACUGCAUGACAAAUAAAGAAUCGCCCUGUCAGAAUUCCACCCUGGCUCACCCAAAUUGACAAAAAUUUUCUGAAUUACACUGUUUCAGGGCUCCCGCAUUGACAGGAGGCAGUCAAGCCUGACAGCCCUUUCCCUCUUGUCUGUUAUCUUGAAAUCAAUUGCACAGCCUGAUGCACAGAAUAAUGGCUGUGGACUAUUCUGCAGGACUUGGCCCAUCUGGUCACUAAGGAAGACAGCAUUGCUGGCUUCCUAUCGAUCUGGGAGGAGCAUGCUGCUACACAGAGGUGACCUCCAUCUCUCCACCUGGCCCUGCUAUUGAGGAAAUCAGUUUCACGAGUGAGCUCAUUCAGAAAUGAAAACAACUUUGCACCACAGCGUAUCCAUCUUUGUCUUUAAUUAAGAGCUCUUGCCUCUUUGGGAUUAAAUAGUGAGUUGUAAGCAAAUGAAAGGGCAUGAUUCUCUGCGUCGGGCACCAUAUUUUGUGUUAAGUCCCUUUAGUUAAAGUCUUGAACAGAUCAGACAUUUCAGUAGAGGGAAAUAUUAAUUUGGCUAUUUUAUGAAACUCCCUACACUUCAUCUUUGAAGAAAAUUCUUAUAUUAGUGGUAUAAUAUUUUUAUUAGCAAAGCUGAUUAAUGUUCCUACAAAGAUUAAUAUUUCUCAAGUUGGUUCUCUAGGAAAAUGAUCGAUUUAUACUUAAUUGUUUGAAGUUCAUUACACAGCCUACCUGUUUUACAUUUAAAAAGAAUUGCAUUAUUGGUGAGUUAUAAUAAAUGGACCCUGAAUCUAUGAAGGCUGCAAAAUGCUCCUGACUUCCUUAUUGGAAAGAAAGACGAAAGCAAGAAAAAAAGCAAGAAAGCAAGAAGAAAGAAAAACAAUUACAUGUUUAAGUUAGUAACAUUUUUGGAUGCUUAUAUUCCCACAGUUUUAUUUUUAUAGUUUGGUUUCUGUUUUUAGUAUUAAAAAUACCAAUUAGUAGCUGGCUUUUAUGAAACGUCUUCACGAUUCAGUCUGUAAAUUGCAUAUAGCAUUACAAAAGUCUGCUCCUUGCAUCUCCCGCCCCAUUCUUGUCCUCCUCUAGCAUAUUCACCCAGCUGCCCAAAGUAAUCUUUUAAGAACAUAAGUCAACUUAUGCCCCUUUCCUGCUCAAAACCUUCCGAGUGUUUCACAUGUCACCCAGAAUAACCAAACUCUCUUCCUCGACAAGGCCUAUAUGAUUUGUCCCUCCCUGUCUUUCUGACAUUGUCACCCAACAGUCCCCACUCUUGCUCACACCCUUCUAAACGGAGUACUAUUCUUGCACAGGCCCACACUUUUCACCUAACUGUGAAGUCAUGUGUUAAAAUUCACUUGGUCACAGAUGUCUAUUAAAAUAUUAAUAUAAUCUCAUAGAUUACAAGCCCCAUGAGGUCAAGAAUUUUGUAUGUCUUAUUUACCACUAUUUCUAAUGCCUAAUAAAGUAUGUAUUCAAUUAAGGCAGUAUUAGUCUUCCGUUAUCUCAUAUAAGUUCUAUUAAGACAAGGUCUAAAAGUGACUCAACGUGUUUUGUUUUGUUCAUCACUAUA